rnacentral:rRNA from 1 species
GCAGUGGGAGCACCCUUUGGGUGUGACUGCGUACCUUUUGUAUAAUGGGUCAGCGACUUAUAUUCUGUAGCAAGGUUAACCGAAUAGGGGAGCCGGAGGGAAACCGAGUCUUAACCGGGCGUUAAGUUGCAGGGUAUAGACCCGAAACCCGGUGAUCUAGCCAUGGGCAGGUUGAAGGUUGGGUAACACUAACUGGAGGACCGAACCGACUAAUGUUGAAAAAUUAGCGGAUGACCUGUGGCUGGGGGUGAAAGGCCAAUCAAACCGGGAGAUAGCUGGUUCUCCCCGAAAGCUAUUUAGGUAGCGCCUCGUGAAUUCAUCUCCGGGGGUAGAGCACUGUUUCGGCUAGGGGGCCAUCCCGGCUUACCAACCCGAUGCAAACUGCGAAUACCGGAGAAUGUUAUCACGGGAGACACACGGCGGGUGCUAACGUCCGUCGUGAAGAGGGAAACAACCCAGACCGCCAGCUAAGGUCCCAAAGUCAUGGUUAAGUGGGAAACGAUGUGGGAAGGCCCAGACAGCCAGGAUGUUGGCUUAGAAGCAGCCAUCAUUUAAAGAAAGCGUAAUAGCUCACUGGUCGAGUCGGCCUGCGCGGAAGAUGUAACGGGGCUAAACCAUGCACCGAAGCUGCGGCAGCGACACUGUGUGUUGUUGGGUA